rnacentral:tRNA from 1 species
UCUCCUAUCUCACGGUAAAGAGUCUGCUUGCAAUGCAGGAGACCUGGGUUCAAUUCCUGGAUGGGGAA